ensembl:snoRNA
AGCACUUGAAUUUGUUUUUGUCUGUCUUUUAGACAAAGACACAGAAAAGUGCAAAAAAUAAAUCCUCUUUUGCAACCCAAAACUCAUUGUUUAGUAUGAGUUUUGAUACAUAUAAGAAGGAAUAUU